rnacentral:rRNA from 1 species
GCGUGGAGACAGGUGGUGCAUGGCUGUCGUCAGCUCGUGUCGUGAGAUGUUGGGUUAAGUCCCGCAACGAGCGCAACCCUUACCCCUUGUUGCCAUCAGGUCAUGCUGGGCACUCUAGGGGAACUGCCCCGGUCAACGGGGAGGAAGGCGGGGAUGACGUCAAGUCAUCAUGCCCCUUACGCCCUGGGCUACACACGUGCUACAAUGGCCGGUACAAAGGGAUGCAAGACCGCGAGGUGGAGCUAAACCCAAAAAGCCGGUUCUAAGUUCAGAUUGGAGUCUGCAACUCGACUCCAUGAAGGAGGAAUCGCUAGUAAUCGCGUAUCAGCACGACGCGGUGAAUACGUUCCCGGGCCUUGAACACACCGCCCGUCACACCACGAAAGUCAGCUGUACUCGAAGUCGCUGAG